rnacentral:rRNA from 1 species
AACGAACGCUGGCGGCAUGCCUAACACAUGCAAGUCGAACGAGACCUUCGGGUCUAGUGGCGCACGGGUGCGUAACGCGUGGGAACCUGCCCUUAGGUUCGGAAUAACUCCCCGAAAGGGGUGCUAAUACGGGAUAAUGUCUUCGGACCAAAGAUUUAUCGCCUUUGGAUGGGCCCGCGUUGGAUUAGCUAGUUGGUAGGGUAAAAGCCUACCAAGGCGACGAUCCAUAGCUGGUCUGAGAGGAUGAUCAGCCACACUGGGACUGAGACACGGCCCAGACUCCUACGGGAGGCAGCAGUGGGGAAUAUUGGACAAUGGGCGAAAGCCUGAUCCAGCAAUGCCGCGUGAGUGAUGAAGGCCUUAGGGUUGUAAAGCUCUUUUACCCGGGAUGAUAAUGACAGUACCGGGAGAAUAAGCUCCGGCUAACUCCGU